rnacentral:tRNA from 1 species
AAAGAAUUAGUUUAAAUUAUACAACAUUAAAUUGUCAAUUUAAAAAUAUUUUAUUUUUAAAAUAUUCUUUG